rnacentral:lncRNA from 1 species
ACCACCCCCACCCCCCGUCCCCGUCCCCCACCUCCACCAUGGCCGGGUGCUGCGCCCGGCGGGCGUCCAGGUGAGCCAGCAGCGCCUGCGCCAGCACCGCCGUGUCCUCGGGGCCCCUGGGGACACGGGGACGUGGGACAGGGGGACACGGGGACAGGGGACACGGGGACAGGGGGACACGGGUGUUGGAGACAUGGGGCAGUGGUCUUGGGGACCUGGGGACAUGGGACACAGGGACAUGGGGACAUGGAUGUUGGGGACAUGGGACAUGGGGACACAGUGAGAUGGGGACACGGGGACAUGGAUGUUGGGGACAUGGGGACAGAGUGACAUGGGGACACAGAAACAGUGACAUGGGGACAUCGGUUGGGGACAUGGGGAC